ACCUGAGUGUAUCUGGGAUCACACCUGGGAUCACACCUGAGUGUAUCUGGGAUCACACCUGGGAUCACAUCUGGGCACACCUGGCAUCACACCUCAGUGCACCUGGAAGCACCUGGCACACCUGAGCUCACACUUGAGCCAAUACCCCCACACACCUGCCCAGGAAAGGCUGAAAUUCCUGGAAUUCCGGCCCUAUCCAGGUACCCCAGGUGGGAUCCCAGCCCUAUGCAGGUACCCCAGGUGGGAUCCCAGCCCCAUCCAGGUACCCCAGGUGGGACCCCAGCCCUAUCCAGGUACCCCAGCCCCAGGAUUAGUGCAAGGUGAAGGGCAUGGUGUCAAAGCGCCGCUCCACCUCGCUGAAGAAAUCCCAAAUCCCUGGAAUCCCAGCCCCAUCCAGGUAAUCCCAGGUGGAAUUCCAGCCCUAUCCAGAUCUAUCCAGGUAUCCCAGGUGGGACCCCAGCCCCAUCCAGGUACCCCAGCCCCAGGACCACCGCAGGGUGAAGGGCAUGGUGUGGAAGCAUUGCUCCACCUUGCUGAGGAACCUCAAACCCUGGAAUCCCAGCCCCAUCCAGGUAAUCCCAGGUGGAAUUCCAGCCCCAUCCAGGUACCCCAGGUGGGACCCCAGCCCCAGGAUUACUGCAGGGUGACAGGCAUGGUGUCAAAGCACCGCUCCACCUCGCUGAAGAAAGCUCAAAUUCUGGAAUCCCAGCCCUAUCCAGGUAAUCCCAGGUGGAAUUCCAGCCCUAUCCAGGUACUCCAGCCCCAUCCAGCCCUAC